AACGAACGCUGGCGGCAGGCUUAACACAUGCAAGUCGAGCGCCCCGCAAGGGGAGCGGCAGACGGGUGAGUAACGCGUGGGAAUCUACCCAUCCCUACGGAACAACUCCGGGAAACUGGAGCUAAUACCGUAUACGCCCUUUGGGGGAAAGAUUUAUCGGGGAUGGAUGAGCCCGCGUUGGAUUAGCUAGUUGGUGGGGUAAAGGCCUACCAAGGCGACGAUCCAUAGCUGGUCUGAGAGGAUGAUCAGCCACAUUGGGACUGAGACACGGCCCAAACUCCUACGGGAGGCAGCAGUGGGGAAUAUUGGACAAUGGGCGCAAGCCUGAUCCAGCCAUGCCGCGUGAGUGAUGAAGGCCUUAGGGUUGUAAAGCUCUUUCACCGGAGAAGAUAAUGACGGUAUCCGGAGAAGAAGCCCCGGCUAACUUCGUGCCAGCCGCCGCGGUAA
rnacentral:rRNA from 1 species